UCGCCUCUUGCAUAUAUAAGAGGUCCAGCCUGCCCAGUGACUUAGUUCAACGGCCGCGGUAUCCUAACCGUGCGAAGGUAGCGUAAUCACUUGUUCUUUAAAUGAGGACUCGUAUGAAUGGCACCACGAGGGUUACACUGUCUCCUUUCUCUAAUCAAUGAAACUGAUCUCCCCGUGAAGAAGCGGGGAUACACAUAUUAGACGAGAAGACCCUAUGGAGCUUCAAACUAUACAGCACUGGCUUUUAUCUUUUUCCACUUCAGAGUUUUUAAUUUUAUUCUAGCCUUUUGACUAUUAGUUUUAGGUUGGGGUGACCACGGAGCAAAAAUUAACCUCCACGAUGAACAGACCAACUCUUGAGCUAAAAGCCACAACUUUAAGCACCAAUAAACUGACACAAAUUGACCCAAUAUUUUGACCAACGAACCAA
rnacentral:rRNA from 1 species